CACGUAGGCGGAUUUGUAAGUCAGGGGUGAAAUCCCGGGGCUCAACCUCGGAACUGCCUUUGAUACUGCAAAUCUCGAGUCCGGAAGAGGUGAGUGGAAUUCCUAGUGUAGAGGUGAAAUUCGUAGAUAUUAGGAAGAACACCAGUGGCGAAGGCGGCUCACUGGUCCGGUACUGACGCUGAGGUGCGAAAGCGUAGGGAGCAAACA
rnacentral:rRNA from 1 species